GCCAGGUCUGGAAACUGUGAGUGUGUGGGCUUUUCUCCGACGUCGAGCGUGGUCCUAGCGUAAACAGAUGCAUUCGCCUCUCCGGUUUCAAUCUUUUUUUACGUUUGCGCUUUCCUCAAGGCCGGUGGGUCAGGAGUGGAGCCUUAGUCAUUCUAACGCUGGAGGUGUCAGUAGGACCAACAGAGUCUGGUGCCGACACGGCUUACUGUUGCGCGCUCUUCUAGGCCUCAACUUCCUCUCAACUGUGUGGUAACAGGACAUUCAGUUAGUAAUGAUGGUUGCAGGUUGAAUAGUCUCGCCCUAGAUCUCACCUAACUUGCAGUAAGUAUCAAGUGCUUGUGUGCCGAUUAAAGAACAACUUCGGAUACAAUGGGAGGUGUCAAGGAAACGAAUAUUUUAAAAAUGACUACACCAAACAAGACACCUCCUGGUGCUGACCCCAAGCAGUUGGAAAGGACUGGAACAGUACGGGAAAUUGGGUCACAAGCUGUUUGGUCACUCUCAUCUUGCAAACCAGGAUUUGGAGUGGAUCAGUUACGAGAUGACAAUCUAGAAACUUAUUGGCAAUCAGAUGGUUCCCAGCCUCAUUUAGUGAACAUCCAAUUCAG
rnacentral:lncRNA from 1 species